GUGGGAACCUACCUGAAGGUACGGAACAACUCCGGGAAACUGGAGCUAAUACCGUAUGUGCCCGAAAGGGGAAAGAUUUAUCGCCUUCAGAUGGGCCCGCGUCAGAUUAGCUAGUUGGUGAGGUAACGGCUCACCAAGGCGACGAUCUGUAGCUGGUCUGAGAGGAUGAUCAGCCACACUGGGACUGAGACACGGCCCAGACUCCUACGGGAGGCAGCAGUGGGGAAUAUUGGACAAUGGGCGCAAGCCUGAUCCAGCCAUGCCGCGUGAGUGAUGACGGCCUUAGGGUUGUAAAGCUCUUUCGACGGGGACGAUAAUGACGGUACCCGUAGAAGAAGCCCCGGCUAACUUCGUGCCAGCAGCCGCGGUAAUACGAAGGGGGCUAGCGUUGUUCGGAAUCACUGGGCGUAAAGCGCACGUAGGCGGAUUGUUAAGUCGGGGGUGAAAUCCUGAGGCUCAACCUCAGAACUGCCUUCGAUACUGGCAAUCUCGAGUCCGGAAGAGGUUGGUGGAACA
rnacentral:rRNA from 1 species